UACAGAGGUCUCAAGCGUUGUUCGGAUUCAUUGGGCGUAAAGGGUGCGUAGGCGGCGCGGUAAGUCGGGUGUGAAAUCUCGGAGCUUAACUCCGAAACUGCAUUCGAUACUGCCGUGCUUGAGGACUGGAGAGGAGACUGGAAUUUACGGUGUAGCGGUGAAAUGCGUAGAUAUGCGGAGGAACACCGAUGGCGAAGGCAAUCCCCUGGGCCUGCACUGACGCUCAU
rnacentral:rRNA from 1 species